rnacentral:rRNA from 1 species
UGGGGAAUUUUCCGCAAUGGGCGAAAGCCUGACGGAGCAAUACCGCGUGAGGGACGAAGGCUUUUGGGUCGUAAACCUCUUUUCCCUGAGAAGAAGAUCUGACGGUAUCAGGGGAAUCAGCAUCGGCUAACUUCGUGCCAGCAGCCGCGGUAAUACGAGGGAUGCAAGCGUUAUCCGGAAUUAUUGGGCGUAAAGCGUCCGCAGGUGGCUCUGUAAGUCUGUCGUUAAAGAAUGGGGCUCAACCCCAUACAGGCGAUGGAAACUACAAGGCUAGAGUUUGGUAGGGGUCACGGGAAUUCCUAGUGUAGCGGUGAAAUGCGUAGAUAUUAGGAAGAACACCAGCGGCGAAAGCGCGUGACUGGGCCAGUACUGACACUCAUGGACGAAAGCUAGGGGAGCGAAAG